rnacentral:lncRNA from 1 species
AUGUAUGUAUUUAUACAAAAACUACAACUCCCAGCUAUUGAUAGGGGAAAAUAUAGCUGACUGCACUGCAUGGGACAAUCUUGAUACUAUUACAAUUUAACCUGGUAUGUGACUGAUGCUCAAACCUUUUGUGCCUGAAAUACUCUUUCUGUAAUCCAUGUACUGACUCUGUGGGCUCUUCUCCUGACAUCUCCUAGGAGCUGAAUAGGCUCAGGAGAGUUUUCAAAGGCUAAUCCAUCGUCAAUAGCAUGAAAGGAGAAGAGACUCUUUACAAGAAGAACUUUGCUGUGGCUCUUCUAGUGCACGCUCCUUCCAACAGCAUACACAGAAUUUAAACGUCCCAGAACUAUGCUGCUAUAACCGCAGUGAAAUCUUGGCUCCAUUAACGGAUAGCAAACUCAGAUUUUCCAGAUCGCUUUGUGUUCAGCAAUUUCCCAAACCCUUAGUUUCUGGCUGUGUACCUCAUGCUCAUGAGGUAAGAAUAGAAAAACAGGUAUUAUAGCCAUUCAUGAAAGGAAAAAAGCCCAGAAAGAUUUCAUGGACAGUACUUCAUUUCUUUGUUAGAUAAAUUGUGAAAUAGUGUGGCCACAAAGGCAACAUAUUCAGAGUUUCUUUCUGCCUGGAGGCAGAAUGCAAGAGUUACGGAAAGAACUUGAUGUGUAGCAGGUGGCUGGCUGAUCUACGUGUUGCACAUACGUAGUACUCAGAGGCUGUGACAGAGUGUGUAAGGGCCUAGGGUCUCUCAAAAUCUCAUCCUGUACCAACGCUUGGUGUGUUAUUCUUAUUUU